rnacentral:rRNA from 1 species
CCCAGACUCCUACGGGAGGCAGCAGUGAGGAAUAUUGGUCAAUGGGCGGAAGCCUGAACCAGCCAAGUCGCGUGAGGGACUAAGGCCCUGCGGGUCGUAAACCUCUUUUGCCGGGGAGCAGUGGUCCGGACGCGUCCGGACCGGGAGAGUACCCGGAGAAAAAGCAUCGGCUAACUCCGUGCCAGCAGCCGCGGUAAUACGGAGGAUGCGAGCGUUAUCCGGAUUUAUUGGGUUUAAAGGGUGCGCAGGCGGAGGUGCAAGUCAGCGGUAAAAUCGCGGGGCUCAACCUCGCUCCGCCGUUGAAACUGGCGUUCUUGAGUGGGCGAGAAGUAUGCGGAAUGCGUGGUGUAGCGGUGAAAUGCAUAGAUAUCACGCAGAACUCCGAUCGCGAAGGCAGCCUACCGGCGCGCAACUGACGCUCAUGCACGAAAGCGUGGGUAUCGAACAGGAUUAGAUACCCCUGUAAAA